rnacentral:rRNA from 1 species
UACGUAGGGUGCGAGCGUUAAUCGGAAUUACUGGGCGUAAAGCGCACGCAGGUGGCUUAGUGAGUUGGACGUGAAAGCUCCUGGCUUAACUGGGAGAGGUCGUUCGAUACUGCUAGGCUUGAGGUAGGGAGAGGGGUGUGGAAUUCCCGGUGUAGUGGUGGAAUGCGUAGAUAUCGGGAGGAACACCAGUGGCGAAGGCGACACCCUGGCCCUCACCUGACACUGAUGUGCGAAAGCGUGGGUAGCAAACAGG